GUUUUAAUAGUUUAAGAAAAACUUUGGUCUUGUAAACCAAAAAUGAAAUAUUAUUUCUUAGAACU
rnacentral:tRNA from 1 species